GAUGAACGCUGGCGGCGUGCCUAAUACAUGCAAGUCGAGCGAACGGACGAGAAGCUUGCUUCUCUGAUGUUAGCGGCGGACGGGUGAGUAGCACGUGGAUAACCUACCUAUAAGACUGGGAUAACUUCGGGAAACCGGAGCUAAUACCGGAUGAUAUUUUGAACCGCAUGGUUCAAAAGUGAAAGACGGUCUUGCUGUCACUUAUAGAUGGAUCCGCGCUGCAUUAGCUAGUUGGUAAGGUAACGGCUUACCAAGGCAACGAUGCAUAGCCGACCUGAGAGGGUGAUCGGCCACACUGGAACUGAGACACGGUCCAGACUCCUACGGGAGGCAGCAGUAGGGAAUCUUCCGCAAUGGGCGAAAGCCUGACGGAGCAACGCCGCGUGAGUGAUGAAGGUCUUCGGAUCGUAAAACGCUGUUAUUAGGGAAGAACAUAUGUGUAAGUAACUGUGCACAUCUUGACGGUACCUAAGCAGAAAGCCACGGCUAACUACGU
rnacentral:rRNA from 1 species